rfam:Triticum aestivum genome assembly, contig: Triticum_aestivum_CS42_TGACv1_scaffold_378564_5AL
AUGAUACUCCCUCCGUCCGGAAAUACUUGUCCUAAAAAUGAACAAAAUGGAUGUAUCUAUAACUAAAUUAAGUCUAUAUACAACAAUUUCUAGGAUAAAUAUUUCCGGACGGAUGGAGUACUCA